GGAAAAGCGCAUCCUAAACAAAACAUUUCACACUAAGCUGCUCCCUCCUCCCAGCUGCUCCCUCCUCGGUUUCACACCCAGCUGCUCCCUCCUUACUUCAUCAAUGAAUGUCACUCAUUCAUCUCCCUCUUGUCUUCCUCACUUCACUCGAUCUCCUCUCCUCUCUUCUCUUCAGCGCCGCCGCCCGCUGUGACCACCGCUCCCACACCGCCCUGUCGUGACGGCAGUUGGGGUCGCUGCUUUCUUCUUCUCUUUCCUCUUUAUUGUCGGUUGUGUUAUUCUUCUCCGCCACGUCGCCGCCAUUGUCGGUGGCCUCUGGUUCCAACCGUUGAUGCUUCAUCAUCUAUCCGGUGCACAGCAGAAAAGGGUGAAGAGUCUGAUGCUUGUGAUAAGUUUGCCAGAUUCUAUCGUGCUCUUUGUCCUGGUGAAUGGUUGCUUGAGGUGAUUACUGGAGGCAUAAAUUGAGCUCUAGAGGUAGAUGGACGUCUGGUGAUGGUGAAAGUGAAGAUUAUGAGGUUGAGAUCGUACUCUUGGUGUAUGAGUGAUGCGUAGUCAAGGAUUUCAAAACUCCAAGGGAGGGGCCAUUUACCAAAGAGGAGUUGGAUGAAGUUCGAGACAAGUGGGCUACUUACUUCAACGAUUGUGAACUAGUGAACUACCCUUAGUGUAAAUAGAGCAGGCAUGUAGUUAUCCGUGACUCUUACAUUACUUUGUUAUUUAUUGAUUUAAUUAAUUAUAUUUGAAUUAAUUCGGUAAUAUUAUUGUAAAUUUGAAAUUUAUAUCAUUUUUGAGGAAUGUCAAGCUGAUGUUUGG